GCCGAAGUGGCGGAAUGGUAGACGCGGCGGACUCAAAAUCCGCUGCCCGCGAGGGCGUGUGGGUUCGAAUCCCUCCUUCGGCACCA
rnacentral:tRNA from 1 species